rnacentral:rRNA from 1 species
AACGAACGCUGGCGGCAUGCCUAACACAUGCAAGUCGAACGAGACCUUCGGGUCUAGUGGCGCACGGGUGCGUAACGCGUGGGAACCUGCCCUUAGGUUCGGAAUAACUCCCCGAAAGGGGUGCUAAUACCGGAUAAUGUCUUCGGACCAAAGAUUUAUCGCCUUUGGAUGGGCCUGCGUUGGAUUAGCUAGUUGGUAGGGUAAAAGCCUACCAAGGCGACGAUCCAUAGCUGGUCUGAGAGGACGAUCAGCCACACUGGGACUGAGACACGGCCCAGACUCCUACGGGAGGCAGCAGUGGGGAAUAUUGGACAAUGGGCGAAAGCCUGAUCCAGCAAUGCCGCGUGAGUGAUGAAGGCCUUAGGGUUGUAAAGCUCUUUUACCCGGGAUGGUAAUGACAGUACCGGGAGAAUAAGCUCCGGCUAACUCCGUG